rnacentral:rRNA from 1 species
UGGGGAAUUUUGGACAAUGGGGGAAACCCUGAUCCAGCGACGCCGCGUGAAGGAUGAAGGUCUUCGGAUUGUAAACUUCUUUUCUAUGGGAAGAAUCCCCGCCUUAGGGCGGAAUGACGGUACCAUAGGAAUAAGCCACGGCUAACUACGUGCCAGCAGCCGCGGUAAUACGUAGGUGGCAAGCGUUACUCGGAAUCACUAGGCGUAAAGCGUGGGUAGACGGUUCGAUCAGUCCGUUGUGAAAGCUCCUGGCUUAACUGGGAGAGGCCAACGGAUACCAUCGGGCUUGAGGGUGGUAGGGGAGAUUGGAAUUCCUGGUGUAGCGGUGAAAUGCGUAGAUAUCAGGAGGAAUACCGAUGGCGAAAGCAAGUCUCUGGGCCAUUCCUGACGUUGAGCCACGAAAGCUAGGGGAGCAAACA